UGACCGUGCGAAGGUAGCAUAAUCAUUAGUCUUUUAAUUGAAGGCUUGUAUGAAUGGUUGGACGAAAAGCAAUCUGUCUCUGUUGAAAAAAUUGAAUUUAACUUUUAAGUGAGAAGGCUUAAAUAAUCUAGGGGGACGAUAAGACCCUAUAAAGUUUAAUAUUAUAGUUAUAGAAAAUUAAUUAGGUUAUUAAGAUUUAUUAUUGUAAAUAAUAUUUUGUUGGGGCGACAAGAAUAUAAAUAAUUUAACUGUUCUUUUUUGUAUCAAAGAUAUUUGAGUUGAUGAUCUUUUUAAGAGUAUUAGAGUAAAUUACUUUAGGGAUAACAGCGUAAUUUUUUUUGAGAGUUCUUAUCGACAAAAGAGUUUGCGACCUCGAUGUUGAAUUAAAGAUUCUUUAUAAUGCAGAAGUUAUAUGAGAAGGUCUGUUCGACCUUUAAAUCUUUACAUGAUUUGAGUUCAGACCGGUGUGAGCCAGGUUGGUUUCUAUCU
rnacentral:rRNA from 1 species